rnacentral:misc_RNA from 1 species
GUGAAUCAUCGAAUUUUUGAACGCAAAUUGCACUCUCUUCGGAGAGUAUGCCCGUUUGAGGGUCAGCCUAAAAAAAGUCGACAUAGUCGCUGUUUCGCGGUGACUUUCGUUGGCAAUUGGGUCAUCUUCAACACUUGGGUUUUAAGCGGCUUAAAAUUUUCUUUACGAUUCGACGAAUGUUACUAAGAUUUAUUUCUUACAUGCUUAUGGUCAUCGAUCUUUAUUAGAAGUGGCCGUU